AUUGAACGCUGGCGGCAGGCUUAACACAUGCAAGUCGAGCGGGGUGAUGGUGCUUGCACUAUCACUUAGCGGCGGACGGGUGAGUAAUGCUUAGGAAUCUGCCUAUUAGUGGGGGACAACAUCUCGUAAGGGAUGCUGAUACCGCAUACGUCCUACGGGAGAAAGCAGGGGAUCACUUGUGACCUUGCGCUAAUAGAUGAGCCUAAGUCGGAUUAGCUAGUUGGUGGGGUAAAGGCCUACCAAGGCGACGAUCUGUAGCGGGUCUGAGAGGAUGAUCCGCCACACUGGGGCUGAGAAACGGCCCAGACUCCUACGGGAGGCAGCAGUGGGGAAUAUUGGACAAUGGGGGGAACCCUGAUCCAGCCAUGCCGCGUGUGUGAAGAAGGCCUUAUGGUUGUAAAGCACUUUAAGCGAGGAGGGGGCUCUUUUGGUUAAUACCCAAGAUGAGUGGACGUUACUCGCAGAAUAAGCACCGGCUAACUCUGUGCCAGCCGCCGCCGUAA
rnacentral:rRNA from 1 species